GAGCACAGCUGUGGACAAUUGCGCAUAACAAGACAGGGAGGACACGGAACUGAAAAUACUGACCCAAGACGCAGACCUUAAACGUAACACAGGAAGAACACAGAGAUGCAGAGAGGAGGAGGAGAGAGAGAGCAAAGAGGAGCACAUGACAGGUACUUGCAGGUCUGGCAGCUGGUGUAAACAGGGACAAGGAACAGUGACAUUGAAACCACACAGAGGUGAUCGUGCUGCCUGGAUAUGCAGAGCUCCUUCGAAAGUGAGGUACAACUAAACCCCUGAACACCUGGCUCCUGAGGAUGGAGGGCACAGGAGAUGUGGAGGCAUAAUCAGGAAAAGGAGAAAAGCCUAUGGAAGUAGCUGCCUCUGUACAGAUCAGGCCAGGAGAGGCUCGCUGUCCCGGAGAGGUGAAGGUGCUAGUGUCAGAGCAACAGGGAGAUAACCUCUUUGGUCGUCAUCUUCUGCC